CCUACGGGAGGCAGCAGUGGGGAAUUUUGGACAAUGGGCGAAAGCCUGAUCCAGCAAUGCCGCGUGCAGGAUGAAGGCCUUCGGGUUGUAAACUGCUUUUGUACGGAACGAAACGGUUCGCCUUAAUACGGUGGGCUAAUGACGGUACCGUAAGAAUAAGCACCGGCUAACUACGUGCCAGCAGCCGCGGUAAUACGUAGGGUGCGAGCGUUAAUCGGAAUUACUGGGCGUAAAGCGUGCGCAGGCGGUUAUAUAAGACAGAUGUGAAAUCCCCGGGCUCAACCUGGGACCUGCAUUUGUGACUGUAUAGCUAGAGUACGGUAGAGGGGGAUGGAAUUCCGCGUGUAGCAGUGAAAUGCGUAGAUAUGCGGAGGAACACCGAUGGCGAAGGCAAUCCCCUGGACCUGUACUGACGCUCAUGCACGAAAGCGUGGGGAGCAAACAGGAUUAGAUACCCUGGUAGUCCACGCCCUAAACGAUGUCAACUGGUUGUUGGGUCUUCACUGACUCAGUAACGAAGCUAACGCGUGAAGUUGACCGCCUGGGGAGUCGGCCGCAAGGUUGAAACUCAAAAGUAGUAGUCGCGCGNGAGAGCGACGACGACGACGACGGAGGGAGGAGG
rnacentral:rRNA from 1 species